AGUGAACGCUGGCGGCAGGCCUAACACAUGCAAGCCGAACGGCAGCACAGAAGAGCUUGCUCUUUGGGUGGCGAGUGGCGGACGGGUGAGUAAUGUCUGGGAAACUGCCCGAUGGAGGGGGAUAACUACUGGAAACGGUAGCUAAUACCGCAUAACGUCGCAAGACCAAAGUGGGGGACCUUCGGGCCUCACACCAUCGGAUGUGCCCAGAUGGGAUUAGCUAGUAGGUGGGGUAAUGGCUCACCUAGGCGACGAUCCCUAGCUGGUCUGAGAGGAUGACCAGCCACACUGGAACUGAGACACGGCCCAGACUCCUACGGGAGGCAGCAGUGGGGAAUAUUGCACAAUGGGCGCAAGCCUGAUGCAGCCAUGCCGCGUGUAUGAAGAAGGCCUUCGGGUUGUAAAGUACUUUCAGCGGGGAGGAAGGCGGUGAGGUUAAUAACCUUGCCGAUUGACGUUACCCGCAGAAGAAGCACCGGCUAACUCCGUGCCAGCAGCCGCGGUAA
rnacentral:rRNA from 1 species